AUUGAACGCUGGCGGCAGGCCUAACACAUGCAAGUCGAGCGGAUGAAGAGAGCUUGCUCUCUGAUUCAGCGGCGGACGGGUGAGUAAUGCCUAGGAAUCUGCCUGGUAGUGGGGGACAACGUUUCGAAAGGAACGCUAAUACCGCAUACGUCCUACGGGAGAAAGCAGGGGACCUUCGGGCCUUGCGCUAUCAGAUGAGCCUAGGUCGGAUUAGCUAGUUGGUGAGGUAAUGGCUCACCAAGGCGACGAUCCGUAACUGGUCUGAGAGGAUGAUCAGUCACACUGGAACUGAGACACGGUCCAGACUCCUACGGGAGGCAGCAGUGGGGAAUAUUGGACAAUGGGCGAAAGCCUGAUCCAGCCAUGCCGCGUGUGUGAAGAAGGUCUUCGGAUUGUAAAGCACUUUAAGUUGGGAGGAAGGGCAUUAACCUAAUACGUUAGUGUUUUGACGUUACGACAGAAUAAGCACCGGCUAACUUCGUGCC
rnacentral:rRNA from 1 species